GUAGGGAAUCUUCCACAAUGGACGAAAGUCUGAUGGAGCAACGCCGCGUGAGUGAAGAAGGGUUUCGGCUCGUAAAACUCUGUUGUUAGAGAAGAACAGCCGUGAGAGCAACUGCUCACGGUAUGACGGUAUCUAACCAGAAAGUCACGGCUAACUACGUGCCAGCAGCCGCGGUAAUACGUAGGUGGCAAACGUUGUCCGGAUUUAUUGGGCGUAAAGGGAGCGCAGGCGGUUUAUUAAGUCUGAUGUGAAAGCCUUCGGCUUAACCGGAGAAGUGCAUCGGAAACUGAUAAACUUGAGUACAGAAAAGGAUAGUGGAACUUCAUGUGUAGCGGUGAAAUGCGUAGAUAUAUGAAGGAACACCAGUGGCGAAGGCGGCUAUCUGGUCUGUAACUGACGCUGAGGCUCGAAAGCAUGGGUAGCAAACAGGAUUAGAAACCCUAGUAGUCC
rnacentral:rRNA from 1 species